AACAAAACAUCAUGGGUAACCCAUCUAAUGUUUGUCAAAUUCUUUGUGGGACCAAGGCACACAUGAAUAGAAUCAGCCUGGAUACAGAUACUCAAAAUAUAAUAUAGAAAUUCAAACAUGAUUAUAUUACAUUAUCUCAUAAUACGCUUUUGACCUUUUCAACUGCUCUAUUGAAUGUAUCUAAUGUUGUUUGGCGCUGUUUACAUGAGCUGUGGAGGGCUCUAGUGAAAGAAUGUCAAGGACGUUUUGAAGCCAUUGAGUUAUGCAGAGCUUAUGUGGAGGCUUCCAUCUGGUCACUAACAUAAUUUUUUUGCCUCAGUCAGUCCAGACAACCAUUUCUGGGGUACUGUGAGAGUUAGUGAAGAGUCGUUAUUCAACAAUAAUAUAUUGGGGAAUGGCAGCACCAACUAUGUUCGACACAGACCUGGCAAACUGGGGCAGUCCCACAUCAUUUGACCAGGAGGUCUUCACACUGGUGCAGUCCCACAUCAUGUGACCAGGAGGUCUUCACACUGGUGCUGUCCCACAUCAUGUGACCAGGAGGUCUUCACACUGGGGCAGUCCCACAUCAUGUGACCAGGAGGUCUUCACACUGGUGCAGUCCCACAUCAUGUGACCAGGAGGUCUUCACACUGGUGCAGUCCCACAUCAUGUGACCAGGAGGUCUUCACACUGGUGCAGUCCCACAUCAUGUGACCAGGAGGUCUUCACACUGGGGCAGUCCCACAUCAUGUGACCAGGAGGUCUUCACACUGGUGCAGUCCCACAUCAUGUGACCAGGAGGUCUUCACACUGGGGCAGUCCCACAUCAUGUGACCAGGAGGUCUUCACACUGGGGCAGUCCCACAUCAUGUGACCAGGAGGUCUUCACACUGGGGCAGUCCCACAUCAUGUGACCAGGAGGUCUUCACACUGGGGCAGUCCCACAUCAUGUGACCAGGAGGUCUUCACACUGGGGCAGUCCCACAUCAUGUGACCAGGAGGUCUUCACACUGGGGCAGUCCCACAUCAUGUGACCAGGAGGUCUUUACACUGGGGCAGUCCCACAUCAUGUGUAUGUAGCUUCCAAUAUUUAUUUGAGAACACAACAGACAAAUUAGUAUAGGAGCAAGUUUAAAUUGGCAUUUCCGCAGAGUCAAAUAAAAUCGGUGAAUUAAUUUGUGGUGUAUUAGUCGAUGACUCAAAUUUCAGGACAACAUUAGAAGAUUGUUCCAGACUCUUUUCCAGUAUGUAUUUUGUUAGUAAUUUUUAAAAUAUAUGUUCCAUUUCAUAACUCCUCCCAUUGGUUUAUGGAGGGUUUCUAGUAGCUUUCUUUAUAUAGAUAGAACACAAAACCUCAACUUGUGUUCUGGCUACCUAAUAACUCAGUGAGUGGAUGGAAGGGGAGUGGUGAUUCCAUGGGAAGUCAUAAUUAUGCCUAGCGGUUCUUAACUGCAAGUAAAAUAAAAUGACGAACAAGGUAAAUUAUACAUAUUUUUAGGUCAUGAAAGGAUAAUAAACCUUCAUCAGUCAAUAUGUUUGAAAGUCUAUGAAUUCCUUGUUCAGAACAUUGUUUAAAAAUAAUACGUUGUCUGGGUUUCUUGAGGAAUCAUUCAUGUCUGGCUGGAUAAACAGGGCCAGCAGGGCGAGAGAGAGGCGCCCUUGACCCCCCAUCACUCCCGUCCCUUUAAUUUCAGCCCUGGGGUCAGGGCCCGACUGCGAACCCCCAGAGAACUCCCACAAACACAGGGGCAACAUCUGGAGGCCCCACAGGGUGUCUGUGUCCUUGGGGAAUUGACUUUUCCACUUUCUCCUUCUCUACGUCUCUGAUUUCUCUCUCACACACACACACACACACACACACACACACACACACACACACACACACACACACACACACACACACACACACACACACACACACACACACACACACACACACACACACACACACACACACACACACACACACACACACACACACACAAAACCUCAAUCGCAUUCCCAAUAUUGAAUCUGUAUGAAUCCGUAUGAGGGUUAAACUACCUCUGAAAAUCCACAUUUAUCUUACCUAGCAGACCUCUAUCCUUGUCUUUUUCAGACUCCAUCUGUGUGCAGACACAACAACAAAAGCCAGGGGAAAUAAGACCAAUCCAGAGAUUGCAUUCCUUUUCCCUCUGAAGAGAGAGUCAUUUGAACUCAGUUUGGUUUGUUUGAGAGGAGAAGUGACAGCAACGCUGCUAUGGCAACCACGCCAAAGUACUGUCACACUCCACCUCUGUUCCUGUUUCCAGACACGUGGCUCCAUUUUUCUUUGUCCUCCUGAAAACAAGAGCUGAGUGAACACACACGCACGCACGCACACACACACACACACACACACACACACACACACACACACACACACACACACACACACACACACACACACACACACACACACACACACACACACACACACACACACACACACACACACACACACACACACACACACACACACACAGGCUUGAGGAGAUGAAUAUUCAAACACUCAUCCUCCUCCAUCUCCUCCUCCUUCUCUGUCACUUUGAAUCUUAAGAGAAACACUUCUGGAAAUAUCCAUUAUCAUCUUUGUCUGUGCCUUCCAACUGCAAGUGCUCCCCUUAUCCUCCAUCCCUCGCCUUCCCCACUCCGCUGCUGUCAAACAGCAUCUUAAUAUCAGGGGCUGUGGUUUACUCUAUAGCCUCUGCCUGCAUACUCUUUCAUUAGAAUCAAAGGAUU